GAGAUAUACCGAUCGUUGUCUACCCACA
rnacentral:piRNA from 1 species